CAAUCAGAACCCUGGAAAUGGGCUGAUGGUACAGGCUAUGAAGGGUGAGUGGAAGAGAGAGGGUCCCUUUGCUACCCAUUAAAUCAGAUUUGCUUGGGCUGAAGAGAGCAGAAUUCCUCCUACAGCCCCCCCUGGAAUCUGCAGCCUUUCCCCUUCUUGUAGGGCUUAGCCUCACAAAAACCCACUCUUUACCAAUGAAAACAACUCCGUGGAAAACCCAAAUUGACAUUUGCUGUGAUUCACGGGUAAAGAUCCGGUUCUCCUGGGGAAAGUGGCAGGGCAAAAAAGAAAGGUGCUCAGACAUGGACUAGGAAGGUGCAGACUCUAGAAGGUCUGGAUGAGACCAUGGAGAGCCAAACCGCUGGUUGCUUAAGCUUAACGUCCUCCACUGAGGAGCAGCAACAUGUCUUCACUGUCACAAAUGGCUCAUUUCAAGCGCUGCUACCCGAUAUCAAUCUUCAGGAGAGCCACACUGAGCAGCAGCAGUGGGGAAGCUUUUGCGGCCUGAGAGUUAUUUUCCCCAUGGGGAACCUUCUUGGGGGCCACCUGUCAAUGGGGGUGGGCAUGGCCAGAGGCAAGAUGGACAGAGUCACAGCUAUGACACUUCCCCUUGUAGUACAGGGGGCAACAUCAAGCCAUGCAAAAGUCAGACUUCUCUGCACAUCCUGGCAAGCAAGAGGCAUGGUCAGAGGUCAAGGACAUAUUCCAGCCGGGCAGAAAAGCUCGGGGACUGGCUGGGGCCUGAGGAGAGCCCUGAGGGCCAGAGUGGGCUUGUUUGCCCUCAUGCAUCCCAAAAUGGCUUCUCGGGUUUCCGAGUUUCCACUGCUUACCUAGAAUUGGAAGAUGGAAAAGGGAAGGGAGAACUGUUUGCCACCUGCACACUGACGACACCUCAGCCCCAAACUCCCAGAGGCUUCAUGGCGACUGGGGGGGGGGGGGGACUGAUGGACUGGAUCGUUUUCUCCCCACCUGCUCACAGGCUAGGUUUUACCAGUACCCACCCCUGUCUCCUGAUGUCACAGGAUGCCCUUUUGUUGGCUGCACACAUCUUCAGAAUCCCCUUUCAAAGAUCUGUUUAGUGUAGCAAACAGUUUAUACCUGCCCCAUACCUGCUUCAUGAUGUCACAUGACGUCACGUCUACAUCUGGCACAGGCCAUGUGGGUCCCUGCAAAGGCUGCUGGUCUUCAGCUCCCAUCAUCCUCAGUCAGCAGGGGAAAUGGACAGGGACGAUGGGAACUGAAGCCUAGAAACCUUUGCAGAGCAAUACUUUGCCGCUCUGGACUGAUCUGGAUUCCCCCCCCCAACAGGCUCCUCCUAAACUGGCCAUGUCCGGCUGUUAUAACCACCACUGACAAUUCAGAUUCUGCAAAAUUGUGGCUGGUACAAAUGUGGGCAGCUACACAGAGUCUACACAGAGACUCAUUUUGGGGUGGCUGGGAGAACUGAGAUAACAAUGAAUGGCGAGGAGGGAUUGGGCCUUUUUGCCUUGACUGUCAUCUUUGUCUUUCUAGAACUGAACAUAUUGGGACUUGUAGUGAUACAGGCAACUGCAUUCAAAUGAACCAAGGAGCCCUGGAACAGUGUAACUGUUGGUAUGUAAAGAGAUUUAUCUGCGAGAAGAAAGCUCAAUAUCCAUACCCAUUGAGAGCUCAGUAGGGCCAAAUUAUGUGCGGACUCUCGUAAAGGUAAAGGUAAAGGGACCCCUGACCAUUAGGUCCAGUCGUGACCGACUCUGGGGUUGCGGCAUUCAUCUCGCUUUACUGGCC